rnacentral:rRNA from 1 species
UACGGAGGGUGCGAGCGUUUAUCGGAAUUACUGGGCGUAAAGCGCGCGUAGGCGGCUUGAUAAGUCGGAUGUGAAAUCCCCGGGCUCAACCUGGGAACUGCAUCCGAUACUGUUAAGCUGGAGUACGAUAGAGGAUGGUAGAAUUUCUAGUGUAGCGGUGAAAUGCGUAGAUAUUAGAAGGAAUACCGGUGGCGAAGGCGGCCAUCUGGAUCGAUACUGACGCUGAGGUGCGAAAGCGUGGGGAUCAAAC